GGCUGGUCCGAAGGUGGUGAGUUACCUCGAUUGUUCACAGUCAGUUACAGAUUGAACUCCUUGUUCUGCCCUUUCCCCGCUUCUCACUGCUGCACUUGACUAGUCUUAA
rnacentral:Y_RNA from 1 species